ACGCCCUCCCUGUGCGAAAUCACGUUGUGAACCGUGUCAGGUGGGGAACCAAGCAGCACUAAGCAAUUACGGUUUGCGUUGCAGCAAGAGGGCGUUUU
rnacentral:SRP_RNA from 1 species